UGUCCGGAAUUACUGGGCGUAAAGGGCGCGUAGGCGGUUAAUUAAGUCAGGUGUGAAAACUGUGGGCUCAACCCAGAGACUGCAUCUGAUACUGGAUAACUUGAGUGCAGGAGAGGGCAGUGGAAUUCCUAGUGUAGCGGUGAAAUGCGUAGAUAUUAGGAGGAACACCAGUGGCGAAGGCGGCUGCCUGGACUGUAACUGACGCUGAGGCGCGAAAGCGUGGGGAGCGAACAGGAUUAGAUACCCUGGUAGUCCACGCCGUAAACGAUGGGUACUAGGUGUAGGAGGUAUCGACCCCUUCUGUGCCGGAGUUAACACAAUAAGUACCCCGCCUGGGGAGUACGGCCGCAAGGUUGAAACUCAAAGGAAUUGACGGGGGCCCGCACAAGCGGUGGAGCAUGUGGUUUAAUUCGACGCAACGCGAAGAACCUUACCAGGGCUUGACAUCCCCUGACAGCGCAAGAGAUUGUGCAUUUGGUUUUCGGACCGACAGGGAGACAGGUGGUGCAUGGUUGUCGUCAGCUCGUGUCGUGAGAUGUUGGGUUAAGUCCCGCAACGAGCGCAACCCUUAUUCUUAGUUGCCAGCAUUACGGAUGGGCACUCUAAGGAGACUGCCGGUGACAAACCGGAGGAAGGUGGGGAUGACGUCAAAUCAUCAUGCCCUUUAUGUCCUGGGCUACACACGUGCUACAAUGGCCUGUACAAAGGGUAGCGAAGCCGCGAGGCGGAGCCAAUCCCAAAAAGCAGGUCUCAGUUCGGAUUGCAGGCUGCAACUCGCCUGUAUGAAGUCGGAAUCGCUAGUAAUCGCGGAUCAGCAUGCCGCGGUGAAUACGUUCCCGGGCCUUGCACACACCGCCCGU
rnacentral:rRNA from 1 species